GGGCAUAUGGUCUAGAGGUAUGAUACCUGCUUGGAUUGUGAGCGGCUUCGUUCCGUCAAUUUCAUUAUCCACUGCAGGAUGUCUUCGGUUCGAAUCCGAAUUUGCCCC